GCCAUAUUGCUGAAAAUAUGCAGGUACUGAAAGUGAAAAAAAUAAAGAUAACCCAACUAUGAUGAUAUUCCGAGAGCUUCCAGCCUCGCUAUACCGUAGAUUUGACAAUCCUCUAUAGCGUAGAUUUGACAAUCCUAGUGCUGCAAGCAUUGCCCACAUGAAGCAAAGGAGAGCAGCAACCAUUACUUCAGGAAUUGAAGCAAUAAAGCCUCCAACUUUACCUGCUAUGUAACACAUCAU
rnacentral:misc_RNA from 1 species